GAUGAAGAACGCAGCGAAAUGCGAUACGUAAUGUGAAUUGCAGAAUUCAGUGAAUCAUCGAAUCUUUGAACGCAUAUUGCGCUCUCUGGUAUUCCGGAGAGCAUGCUUGUUUGAGUAUCAGUAAACACCUCAACUCCCCUUUCUUUUUUUGAAAUGGGAGCUGGACUUGAGUGAUCCCAACGCUUUUCUCACCGAAAAGUGGCGGGUUACUUGAAAUGCAGGUGCAGCUGGACUUUUCUCUGAGCUAAAAGCAUAUCUAUUUAGUCUGCCUAAAAAACAGAUUAUUACCUUUGCUGCAGCUAACAUAAAGGAGAUUAGUUCUUGUGCUGACUGAUGCAGGAUUCACAGAGACAGCUUCGGCUGGCCAUUGUAAACUCGAUCUCAAAUCAAGUAAGACUACCCGCUGAACUUAAGCAUAUCAAUAAGCGGAGGA
rnacentral:misc_RNA from 1 species